GUGGUGGCAGUUAAGCCAACUGGGUUCCUCUGCUGGUGGGGGCCCAGUGUAAGGGCUGUGGACAGCAAUCUACUCGGUAGGGAAUGAGGCCUGUUGCUUCAACUGGCUGCCCUAACAGACCUCAGAGACACUG
ensembl:snoRNA SNORA70 Small nucleolar RNA SNORA70